rnacentral:rRNA from 1 species
AUACGGAGGACGCGAGCGUUAUCCGGAUUCAUUGGGUUUAAAGGGUGCGCAGGCGGCCGUGCAAGUCAGCGGUGAAAGCCCGGGGCUCAACCCCGGAAGUGCCGUUGAUACUGCAUGGCUGGAAUGCGGUCGAGGCGGGCGGGACGGGGGGUGGGUCGGGGAAAUGCGUAGAUAUGCCACAGAACGCCGAUAGCGGAGGCAGCUCGCCAGGCCUGCAUUGACGCUCGGGCACGAAAGCGUGGGGAUCGAACAGGAUUAGAUACCCUGGUAGUCCACGCCGUAAACGAUGGGCGCUCGUCGUCGGCGGCAGACAGUCGGCGGCCAAGCGAAAGCGAUAAGCGCCCCACCUGGGGAGUACGGUCGCAAGGCUGAAACUCAAAUGAAUUGACGGGG